GUGCUCGCUUCGGCAGCACACAUAGUAAAACUGGAAUGAUACAGAGAAGAUUAGCUUGGCCCCUGCGCAAGGAUGACACGCAAAUUCGUAGAGCAUUCCGUAAAAAAG
ensembl:snRNA U6 U6 spliceosomal RNA